GAUGAAGAACGCAGCUAAAUGCGAUAAGUAAUGUGAAUUGCAGAAUUCAGUGAAUCAUCGAAUCUUUGAACGCACAUUGCGCCCGCCAGUAUUCUGGCGGGCAUGCCUGUUCGAGCGUCAUUUCAACCAUCAAGCCCCCGGCUUGUGUUGGGGACCUGCGGCUGCCGCAGGCCCUGAAAACCAGUGGCGGGCUCGCUAGUCACUCCGAGCGUAGUAAUACAUCUCGCUCAGGGCGUGCUGCGGGUUCCGGCCGUUAAAAAGCCUUAUUUACCCAAGGUUGACCUCGGAUCAGGUAGGAAGACCAGCUGAACUUAAGCAUAUCAAUAAGCGGAGGA
rnacentral:misc_RNA from 1 species